rnacentral:tRNA from 1 species
AGACAACAAAAUGUUUAAUAUUAUUAUUUUGUCACCUUAGGUCGAUCGGUAUCUCACAUUCUUAAUCUAUUAAGAAUUUCAUUUCCUAAGUUUUUCUAGGUCACACCCAUUAUUUUCCUGGGCCAUUAGCUCAGGUGGUUAGAGCGCACCCCUGAUAAGGGUGAGGUCCCUGGUUCAAGUCCAGGAUGGCCCAUAUCUCUAUGUUGGGGGUAUAGCUCAGUUGGUAGAGCGCCUGCUUUGCAAGCAGGAUGUCAGCGGUUCGAGUCCGCUUACCUCCACUGAUUACCACCUCUUCCAUAAUUUGAAGAAAGGAAAUGUUUUGAGUUGUGAUCAAAUUCUGAACGAAUCUAGCUUCCUAAUGAAAUCAUUAAGAUGCUGGACUCAUUGAAUUAAUUUCAUUGUUUUCAGAGAACCUUGACAACUGCAUAGAUUAUUUUAAAGACAAUAAGCAUCUUUAAUGAUGCAGAUUUAUUAUUUGUGCGAAUGCAUUAAAUAACAAUUCUAUUAAGCUGAUGCUUCAAUUUUUGAAGUUAUU